rnacentral:tRNA from 1 species
CCCACUAUAGCUCAGUUGGUAGAGCAUGGCGCUUGCAACGCCAGGGUUGUGGGUUUGAUUCCCACGGGGGGGG